rnacentral:tRNA from 1 species
UUUUAUUUAGUUUACUUAAAACAUUACAUUUUCACUGUAAAGAUGGGCCUAGGCCCAAUAAAUA